UAGGGAAUCUUCGGCAAUGGGGGCAACCCUGACCGAGCAACGCCGCGUGAGUGAAGAAGGUUUUCGGAUCGUAAAGCUCUGUUGUAAGUCAAGAACGAGUGUGAGAGUGGAAAGUUCACACUGUGACGGUAGCUUACCAGAAAGGGACGGCUAACUACGUGCCAGCAGCCGCGGUAAUACGUAGGUCCCGAGCGUUGUCCGGAUUUAUUGGGCGUAAAGCGAGCGCAGGCGGUUUGAUAAGUCUGAAGUUAAAGGCUGUGGCUCAACCAUAGUUCGGUUUGGAAACUGUCAAACUUGAGUGCAGAAGGGGAGAGUGGAAUUCCAUGUGUAGCGGUGAAAUGCGUAGAUAUAUGGAGGAACACCGGUGGCGAAAGCGGCUCUCUGGUCUGUAACUGACGCUGAGGCUCGAAAGCGUGGGGAGCGAACAGG
rnacentral:rRNA from 1 species